ACGAGCUCCCAUUCCCCACCCAGAGGCCGCCGCCGCCACCGCCGCCGCCGCCGCAGAGCGGAGCUGACGAUGGCGAAGCGCAAGGCACCGUCCGGCCCCUCCUCCUCGCCGUCUCCCGCCGCCGCUGGCGCCGACGCGUCCCCGCCCGUCGACCCCGUUUCGUAUUCUAGCUCGCAGGGUGGAUCCGCCGGCGGGAGGAAUCGCAAGGGCGCAGCGGCGGCGGCCAAGCGGAAGCCUAGGAAGCCGCAGGUUCACGAGAAAAAUUACGCGCAUGUGUACUAUGGAUGUAGAAAUGUUUUAUAUGAUGGGAAUGAUUUCUACUAUGGACAUAGAUAUACAGAAGAAUUUCGUAAGGUGGAGGCACAUGAUUUGUAUGGAUGUCCACACUUGAUUGCCGAGCUACCACCACAACCACGGUUAAUGUCAUUGCUGGAUUUACAGCUCUGGAUUAUCAAGUUGUUUAGACUCCAUCCAGAAACACAAGACCUCUCAAUUAAGGGCUUCUUCGAAGAAGAAGACAGUUGGCAAUACUUAGGUUCAGCGGGCUGGAAGACCUAUGAUUUUCUAUCUGAUAAAAGUUGGCAGUCCUUUGUCAAGAAAGUAAAGGGUAGAAAGGGGAUGGAAUUUUUCAAGUUGUAUGUGGACUCCUCUGAAAUCAAGCACUACGACAGUUUGCUAAAAGCAACAAAUGAUGAUUAUUGUCAGUCGGCAACUGUCUUGUUGCCCGAGCAAGAUGAUCUGACA
rnacentral:lncRNA from 1 species